UGCACUUACUUUCUGUCCAGGUAAGCCAGAGUCUCCGGAGUCUCCCUUUGGUCCAGGACGGCCCUGAAGGCAGAGAAGAAACACGAUUCAAUGAAGAGAUCAGUGAUUAGAAGAAACGGCUUAGUAAGUGGUGGAAGAUCUUUAAAAGUGAAGUAAGAAAAGCAACUGGAUGGAUGGACCUCUCAUUCAGAGGGUCAUCAGGUCGUAGAUACGCUUUUUAUUUUAUGGUGUAAUGCUUUUUGUGCAGCAUUUAUUUAUCUAUAUUACUGUUUUUAAUCUCUCUCCAUAAAUCUG